GCAACCUGAAGCUGGCGCGCGGCAACAUCGUGGUGUUCCGCUCGCUGCUGGGCAUCAGUUGGAUGUGGUUCUUCGGCGCCGUGUUCCUGAGCAACUUCCCGGCCUUCGCCAAGGAGGUGCUG
rnacentral:ncRNA from 1 species